rnacentral:rRNA from 1 species
AGAGUUUGAUCCUGGCUCAGGACGAACGCUGGCGGCGUGCCUAACACAUGCAAGUCGAACGAAGAAUGUUUUUCGGAAUAUUCUUAGUGGCGGACGGGUGAGUAACGCGUGAACAAUCUGCCCCGUACAAAGGGAUAGCCUCGGGAAACCGGGAUUAAAACCAUAUAACACUUAACUGCCGCAUGGUAGUGAAGUCAAAUCGAGUAAGAGGUAUGGGAUGAGUUCGCGUCUGAUUAGCUAGUUGGUGAGGUAAGGGCUCACCAAGGCGACGAUCAGUAGCCGGCCUGAGAGGGUGAACGGCCACACUGGAACUGAGACACGGUCCAGACUCCUACGGGAGGCAGCAGUGGGGAAUUUUGCGCAAUGGGGGAAACCCUGACGCAGCGACGCCGCGUGGAGGAUGACGGCCUUCGGGUUGUAAACUCCUGUCAGAAGGGACGAAAUCCCGCAAGGGACUGACGGUACCUUCAGAGGAAGCCCCGGCUAACUACGUGCCAGCAGCCGCGGUAAUACGUAGGGGGCAAGCGUUGCUCGGAAUUACUGGGCGUAAAGGGUGAGUAGGCGGUCGGGCAAGUCAAGGAUGAAAUCCCGAGGCUCAACUUCGGAAUUGUUCUUGAAACUGCUCGGCUUGAGGGUAGUUGAGGAGAGUGGAAUUCCCGGUGGAGCGGUGAAAUGCGUAGAUAUCGGGAGGAACACCUGAGGCGAAGGCGGCUCUCUAAGCUACUCCUGACGCUGAAUCACGAAAGCUAGGGGAGCAAACGGGAUUAGAUACCCCGGUAGUCCUAGCCGUAAACGAUGGACACUGGAUAUUCCGGCAUUUCUGCUGGAGUGUCGUAGCUAACGCGUUAAGUGUCCCGCCUGGGGAGUACGAUCGCAAGGUUGAAACUCAAAGGAAUUGACGGGGGCCCGCACAAGCGGUGGAGCAUGUGGUUUAAUUCGAUGCAACGCGAAGAACCUUACCUGGGCUUGAACUACACAUGAACGUUAUAGAGAUAUAAUUUUUGGGGCAACUCAACAUGUGAAGAGGUGCUGCAUGGCUGUCGUCAGCUCGUGUCGUGAGAUGUUGGGUUAAGUCCC